UCAGAUCUCUUUCUCUCUUGUUCUAUACUCCUCUAUUUAUGUUUCUUUGUUAAAAUACUAGUUAAUAAUCCAUUUACAUAAAUGGUUUCUUAUUCUUUUUCUCGAAUAUUUCUUUAUCCUUAUUUUUUUCACAUCAAUAACAUCUCUGUUUCUAUAAUCAUCUAACUGCACCGUUUCAUUUAAAAAAAUUAUACCUAUAUCGGCCUAAACAAUGUUUUCCUCUUAAAUGAAAUACCCCUAAAAACUACUCAUGUAAAAUGCUUUUAAAGAGUGUUUUUUCCUACACCUCCUCACAUUUCUCCUUGCACCCCCACAUUUUUGUAAAAUCUCAAAAACUAAGGCUUACAUUUCAAAAAACCCUACACCC
rnacentral:lncRNA from 1 species